rnacentral:misc_RNA from 1 species
CGUUUUAGAAACAUCAGUGGCCAACAAUCGUCAGGAUUGUUGAGCUGCAUUGGCGGGAUUUCGCCGUCUUCGUUUCUCUUUCUUCGCGGACGAACACGCGCUGGGGCUGCAAGUUUGCAGAGUCCCUGGUCCUUGACUGGAUAUGCGUUAGGGGCUUGUAGCUCAGUUGGUUAGAGCGCGCGCUUGAUAAGCGUGAGGUCGGAAGUUCAAGUCUUCCCAGGCCCACCACUUUCAUCGAGUGAGCAUUCGUCUUCUGGUUACGGGGCCAUAGCUCAGCUGGGAGAGCGCGUGCUUUGCAAGCAUGAGGUCGUCGGUUCGAUCCCGUCUGGCUCCACCAGAUGGUUUGAUCAUCGACUGAUCGUGCACCUAAAUCGUCCGCGAAACAUCACUUCGCAUCUUGCUAGUCUGGAUAGACAGCAAGUUGCGUGAUUUCUGACAUCGUAAAGAGGAGAUCGAUCCGAGUUGGAUCGUGCAGCAAGCAAUUGCUACGCGAGACUUCAUUAUCUCCGGAUCAUUUCGGCGCUCGUGCGUCUUUCAAGGGCAGCUCACAAGGCUGCUUCUGGAGAGACAAGCGAGUUGUAAAUGAUCCUUUUAGCGAAGCUUGACCGCCUCGCUAUCGGAACGAUCUUACGAAGCAAGCUGGUCUUUCUAAUCAUUGUCCGGCUGCAGAUAGCGUUCAUCGAGGGCGCGUGCCGCAAGGUAAUUCUGCAGACAACAUUCUGCCGAGUGUGUGGACAUUGAUAAUGAGAGCAAUCAAGUGCCUUAAGGGUGUUCGGUGGAUGCCUUGGCGCUGAGAGGCGAUGAAGGACGUGCUACGCUGCGAUAAGCCG